AGGGAUUGCCUCAGUAGCGGCGAGUGAAGCGGCAAAAGCUCAAAUUUGAAAUCUGCGCGUCUUUGGCGUCCGAGUUGUAAUUUGAAGAAGGUAUCUUUGGGCCCGGCUCUUGUCUAUGUUCCUUGGAACAGGACGUCACAGAGGGUGAGAAUCCCGUGCGAUGAGAUGACCCGGGUCUGUGUAAAGUUCCUUCGACGAGUCGAGUUGUUUGGGAAUGCAGCUCUAAGUGGGUGGUAAAUUCCAUCUAAAGCUAAAUAUUGGCGAGAGACCGAUAGCGAACAAGUACAGUGAUGGAAAGAUGAAAAGAACUUUGAAAAGAGAGUGAAAAAGUACGUGAAAUUGUUGAAAGGGAAGGGCUUGAGAUCAGACUUGGUAUUUUGCAUGUUGCUCUCUCGGGGGCGGCCGCUGCGGUUUACCGGGCCAGCAUCGGUUUGGAGCGGCAGGAUAAUGGCGGAGGAAUGUGGCACGGCUUCUGCUGUGUGUUAUAGCCUCUGACGAUACUGCCAGCCUAGACCGAGGACUGCGGUUUUUACCUAGGAUGUUGGCAUAAUGAUCUUAAGUCGCCCGUCUUGAAACACGGACCAAGGAGUCUAACGUCUAUGCGAGUGUUUGGGUGUAAAACCCGUACGCGUAAUGAAAGUGAACGAAGGUGGGGGCCCAUUAGGGUGCACCAUCGACCGAUCCUGAUGUGUUCGGAUGGAUUUGAGUAAGAGCAUAGCUGUUGGGACCCGAAAGAUGGUGAACUAUGCCUGAAUAGGGUGAAGCCAGAGGAAACUCUGGUGGAGGCUCGUAGCGGUUCUGACGUGCAAAUCGAUCGUCGAAUUUGGGUAUAGG
rnacentral:rRNA from 1 species